UACAGAGGUGGCAAGCGUUGUUCGGAAUUACUGGGCGUAAAGGGCGCGUAGGCGGUCCGAUAAGUCCCGUGUGAAAGCCCCCGGCUCAACUGGGGAACUGCACGGGAAACUGACGGACUUGAGUUCGGGAGAGGGAAGCGGAAUUCCGGGUGUAGCGGUGAAAUGCGUAGAUAUCAAGAGGAACACCUGCGGCGAAGGCGGGUUGCUGGGCCGACACUGACGCUGAGGCGCGAAAGCUAGGGGAGCGAACGGG
rnacentral:rRNA from 1 species